GAAAACUGGUGAUCUAAUAGAAGCUGCUAACUUCUUAUUAUAGCGGUUUAAUUCCGUUAAGUAUUCU
rnacentral:tRNA from 1 species